UGGGGAAUAUUGGGCAAUGGGCGCAAGCCUGACCCAGCAACGCCGCGUGAAGGAAGAAGGUCUUUCGGGUUGUAAAACUUCUUUUCUCAGGGACGAACAGAUGACGGUACCUGAGGAAUAAGCCACGGCUAACUACGUGCC
rnacentral:rRNA from 1 species